UUAAAUGUUACAGCUUCGUUCCAAAAGUUCCAUGACCUUUUUUUUUCGUUUCCAGAAGUUCCAUGACCUUGUCCGGUUCAGAGCCUAGCCAAAACCAUAGUCCGGCGAUGCACCCUAUCAAAACUAGGCAAGGCAUAAUGACUCCUUGUUAUGUGAACAUUUCAAGUUUCGUCUUAAUCUUUACUUUCGUGUGGAGCGUACAAAAAGAACAUAAGCUCAAACUUUUUCGCCACAGCCUAAAAAUGGUUUUAGCUCCUCGCACUAAGGAUGGAAAACACAAUUUAAGAAUGGUUCCUCCUCCGUUGGGCGAUGUGGCGCUCACGUCGAUCGCCUCGUGCACGAACCAAAUGACUAUGUGUAUCCCACCAGCGCUCUUCUUUCGCGAACUUUCUUCCCCUUCAGGCCGAAGCUUCCUCGGUGUAUAUCGCUCCACUCGGCCAAAAGAUGUUGUGCUGGCGUCGGUUACCUUCCCGACAAAGCUUCCUCAACGCCUAACGCUCCCCCCGGGCAGACGUUGUUGUGCUGGCGUCGGUUACUUUCCCGACGAAGCUUCCUUGGCGCCUAACGCUCCCCUCGGCCACACGAUGUUGUGCUGGCGUCCGUUACCUUCCCAACGAAGCUUCCUGGACGCCUAACGCUCCCCUCAGCCAGAUGGUGUUGUGUUGGCGUCGGUUACCUUCCUGACGAAGCUUCCUUGGCGCCUAACGCUCCCCUCAGCCAGACGUUGUUGUGCUGGCGUCAGUUACUUUCCUGAGGAAGCUUCCUUGGCGCUUAACGCUCCCCUCGGCCAGACGUUGUUGUGCUGGCGUCAGUUACUUUCCCAACGAAGCUUCCUUGGCGCCUAACGCUCCCACGAUGUUGUGCUGACGCCCGUUACCUUUCCGACGAAGCUUCCUCCGCACAUAACACUCCCCUCAGCCACACGAUGUUGUGCUGGUGUCCCUUACUGUCGGUGCCAAAACCGACAGACCUCGGGGGUAGGGGGUCCCGAGCUUUGGAUCUCGGACAAAUGGUAACAAGAACAGAGAGACAAUGUUUUACCCAGGUUUGGGCCCUCUUCAUGGAGGUAAAACCCUACGUCCUGCUCUUGUUUAUAUUAAUGGAGAUGUAUCAAGUACAACGUUGAUCUACCUCAAGAUCGGUGGUCUUGUUACCAAUUAUCUUACUAUCAAACUAUCUUGUAGCAUUUUGCAGAGAAUACCUUGCUGAAAACGGCCUAUCAAUUCCUUCUGCUCCUCGUUGGGUUCGACACUCUUACUUAUCGAAAGGACUACUGUUGAUCUCCUGUAUUUGUGGGUCAUCAGUGAUCAAGUUUUCCUCAAGCUUCAACCUUAUGCUCAGUCUAGUGUUUCUCAUUGAGCAAAUAAUAAGCUUGAUUUUAAGUACUAUGGGCCUUAUCAAAUCAUUUCAAGUAGGCAGUGUUGCUUAUCGACUUGCUCUUCCAAGUGAUAGUCGCAUUCAUCCGGUCUUUCACGUUUCUCAACUCAAGAAGGUCGUUGCUCCUAUGGUUCAGGUGUAAUCUUCCUUGGCAUCUUCAAUUGCUUAUCUUAAGUUCCCGUUGCAUGUGUUGCAGCGUCAGAUUCGUCAGUAGGGAAUCACACUAUUCCCCAAGUGGAGUGGAGCCAAGGUGAGCCAGAAGCUACUACUCGGGAAGAUCAUGACUCGCUGAAGCAGCGAUUUCUGCGUGCACCGGCUUGAGGAAAAUCCGUUUCUCAAGAUGGGGGNNNNNNNNNNNNNNNNNNNNNNNNNNNNNNNNNNNNNNNNNNNNNNNNNNNNNNNNNNNNNNNNNNNNNNNNNNNNNNNNNNNNNNNNNNNNNNNNNNNNNNNNNNNNNNNNNNNNNNNNNNNNNNNNNNNNNNNNNNNNNNNNNNNNNNNNNNNNNNNNNNNNNNNNNNNNNNNNNNNNNNNNNNNNNNNNNNNNNNNNNNNNNNNNNNNNNNNNNNNNNNNNNNACAAGGCGGGAACAUAAGAAGAGGAGGUGAUUCAAGAUAUGGGUUAGGAGACUUCAAGGCCGCCCCGAGCCAAAUGUUUACCGGCGUGGUUAACCGAUCCGAAUUGGGUCAAACGAGCCUUGUAAUAUAAAUACUGCACACCUUAUCCUAUAGGAGGUAAGAAGGAACGGAUGGACGGCUCUCGCCGAAUUCUUCUAUAGGCUUCUAGUUGUGAGGCUGGUUUGGUGGAACAACUAAAUUCAAAUUCGCCAUGGUUUCCAUUUUCCUAGCUCGAGUGACUUAAGAGGAGAGGGAACCUCACAGGAAGAGAUUUGUUCCUUUGAAUCAAUGGGAAAGAAAAACUCAAUGAUUCACGGGUUCCCGGAAACAGAGGAAUACAGAAAAUAUAGGAUUUGUACUGUCAUGUCUUUUGAUGUGUACAUGAUUUCAGUUUGCUUAAUUUCAUAAUAGAAAAACAACUAGUUCUUUCCAAAUUGUUUGAGUGGACGAUAAAUUUCCUAUGAAAUACAUGACUCGAUCCUAGAAAUCAAGUUUCUAAGGAAUCUAAUCCUUCAAAAAUAAUAUGAAAAACUUUAAAUCAAAGAGGCCAUCAAUGUUACUUGGAACUUGGAAAUGUAAAAAACAUUCGUGAAAUUUCGGCCAUACAUGACCUAUGCUUUGGCCUUGUUACGAAAAGUUUGGUAGUAAGAAUAUUUACUUCUACAUAGUACCUGCAUCCGAAAUGGAGUUCAUAAAGUCAAGGUUCGGAUUCUCUUUCAAUAUUCCUCCAACUAUCACAAUUUGAAAAUUUGGAUCCUUCAGAUCUAUGCUUCUCUUCAUCGACGACGUUGGUCCUGUGAAGACUUAACACAAGGACUCGUGACUGUCUAGUACAAUAUGAUUUGCCCGACUCCAAUAAGGGAGGGGCGAUAAUGGCGGCGUGCCUUCGGUCCGUCUAGUGUUUGUAAUUGUCGUUACAUGGACGUAGUUUUUACUUUUGGCGUUCUUUGUAGAUCAAAAGUUAAAAAUUUAUCACAAUUAGACAGUUCGAGUAUAUGUGCAUUCAGCGUCGUCCUUUACUUCUUUCUUUAUAGCGCGAAACGCUCGUCGUAUUUCUCCUGUGGAAAUCGGGCUUCAUUUUUUAAUACGACGACGUGCAGGAUCUAGCGGCGUGAUUGGAUCAGCGAAAACAACAUGAGCGGCAAUAAAUGCAUUAAUUAUUAAUCAACCAUGAAAGAAAGACGCGAGAUCGACGGAGUCGAAUAAAUGGGAUACUCGAGGCUUCAUGUGACUCGUGGCACUCAUUGAUUGAGAUAGAUCUCCCCCUCGCCAUCCCUCACGCGGACGCCUCGCCCGCCACUGACGCGCGGGACCCCAGUGGUGAGGCCCACCUGUCGGGGACAACCUCGUAACCCUAUCCAGGCCACCGUGUCACGAGGAGAAGCGGUGGCCGGAGUUAAAGCGGCGGCCCGGGCAUCUUCUCUUCCGAGAAAAAACAGAAAAAGAUGGGCUGGGCCGCACCUGCGCUGCACAUGGGGGGCAACGGCGCCAUGGCCAACAACAGAAAAUUCGGAGAAUGUCAGCCCCGUCUGAUUCGUCGGGGGAGAUAACGUUUGUCUAUGCGACGGGAUGGGGUUAGCCGGUUGGGUCUAGGAUAAAAGAUGGUUAGCUGUGUGAUUUACGCUGCUGCGUGUACAGUACAGCGCGGCCCUUGAUCCGUCCUUGUCCUGUGUGUAAACUGGUGGCGGUCAAACAGAUGGGGUAAGUCGGAUUUGGAUCUCGAUCUACUACUGCACUGCACUGCCCACUGGUUUACGGAUCUGGAGGGGUGAAGGAGGGAGGGAGAGAGCGACCUGCGCGUGUUCGUGGCGACGUCAUACGGAUGCUGCCCCUCGAUCGUCAUUGGAUGGGUGCUCUGGGUGAAGUUUCCGCAUCAACGGACACUGGGUGGGUACUGAGAUGAGAUGGGAUCCGCAUCCGUCUGCUUCUUUGAGUUGAGACUAUUAUUAUGUCACUUGGGCUCCGUCGUCCAGGUGUGUAUAAUGCUGAUUCUGUUCGACCAAAUAAAUUGGUUAGGCCUACUUUGGUUCAUAUAGUAGGAAAUCAUAGGAAUAGAAAAGUCAUAAAAAUGAGAUGACAUGUUUCUCAAAUCCUAUGCGUAGGAAUAGGAAAGGAGAUGUUCCUUGAUUCACAUCAUAGGAUUUUUUUCAUUGAGUCUAGGCUAAUGUUUAUUUUUCUAUGAAAUGUGGUGGAUAAGAAGAAUUCCUUCAUAGAAAUAGGAUUCUAUUCCUACAAACCAAAGGACAGUAAAGAAAUUUUUCCUACAUAAAUCCUAUCCUAUAAAAUCCCUAUAAAAUUCCUCCAAACCCAAGAAGGCCUUAGUUUUGAGCAAUCUGUCGAAACUCUCGACCAUCUAAUACUAAUAGUACAUGUUUUCAGCAUUCUGAUUAUAACAAUCUAAUUGUGUUACUCCCUUCGUGUGUCAAAAACGCUUUUAUAUCAUGAGAUGGAGGGCGUAGUUAACGUAAGGCUAUUUGCACGGGAAACAUCAUGCUUCCUCUGUCCAGGACGUUUUAGAUCACUAUAAUACUAGUGUAUGAUACUAUCUUUAUAGGGCAUAGUAUCAUACUUUCUUCGUCCAUGAAUAAGUAUAUGUUUGACAUCCAAAAUUUAUUCACAAAAAGUGUAAUUCUAUCUUUCCAAUGCACUUUAAAGUAGAAAAAAAUGCUUCUCUCAUUACACGGUAAUCAAGACCAAUAACAUUCAACACAUUGUCUCCUCACUUUCUACAUCCACUUAGGCCCCUCCCAGUGCUCCAUCUUGUACAUGUGCUAAGCCUGCCAUAUAGACGAAAAACCUGAUGUGGCAAGUUAAUUAAGAGUAGAGAGAUGAGUGGUGAUACCAGGAUUCCAGGAAGAACAAUGCCAAGCGCGUGAACCUAGGUAAAACAUUUAAAUGAAAGAAGCCCAACACUGCAUGGAGAAUUUUAGUUGCUAAAUCAUUAAAGGAAGGGAGCUUAGCUACAAGAAGCUAAGCACAUAUGCAUUGAGAAGUAUAGUUGCUAACCUAUUUAAUGUGGUUAGCACCUCAUCUAAGCACCGGUGCAUUGGCAGUAGUCUUAGCUCAUUGGAGGUGAGGUAAUUAAAGAAGAGAGAGAUGGUAGCUUCCCUCUCGAGCGAGAUAGACACAUGAGCGCCGCUUCCCCUGGACGAUCCCGCGCCCGACGCGGCCCCGCGGCUUUCCCCGCAUCCUCCCGACCUUCUGAGCCUGUGCCGCUCGACUCAGCCGCCUCUGCUGCCCGAGCUCGGCGCCCACCUCUCGCCUCUGUUGUCCGAGGAGGAAGAAGACAAGUCAAUGUCGUACAUGGUAGUUCUUUUGUUCGCCAACUCAGCCCAUGGGCAGGCCGGGCCAAUUUGUGACAUCAAAGUCAUUAGAAUUUAUCUUUAGUGUUUUUUGUCAGUGUCAAUUUUUUGGUGUGGUGCAAAGUGCACCAAUUUCCAAAUUGGUGUUUUUCUGCUAACCGCGUAGCAAAUGUGGUGGUCCUGUGCUUUUUACUCCAUGGUGGGAGUAUCAUGCAUGUCAACUGGGCAAUUGUUCAUACUCAUAGGGUUGAGUAUUAUAUUAUGAUACCAUAUUAUCAUAAUAAGUUAUAUGCUACUCCCUCCGCCCGGGUUUAUUAGGCCUCUCAGCGUCACAAGCAUGUAGACUAGGGGGAGGAGGUCGGUGUGUGAGCUACUGGGAAGAACCGUACGACGUUGUGCUCGAAAGGAGCCAAGGGCAGUUGUCAAAAGAGCUCUCUCGCAUAGGGUGGCGAGACCUCUUGCCCAGCUCCACGCAUGCCUCCACACCUUGAUCUUGUCGACAUCGAGUUGUCCUGGGCGUCUAUUCACUGCCUUCCCUCAGAAGGCGGGUAAGGAGGGACGGGGCGGAGGAGGAGGGAGCAACACGUGACGGCUACGGUGCCACGCAAGACCUAGUAGAUAUGCCCAUGUGGAGGAGGAAGGAGACCUAGCCAACAUGCCCAUGUGGCAGUGUUAUUUUCUAACUCAGCACAAUGGGUGGGCCCGGGCAGUUAGUGAUAUCAGCGAAGUGCUUAACAUUACCAUCAGUUCUUUCUGCUAGUGUCAAUUUUUUCGCUGCGGUGAAAAGUGCACCAAUUUUUGUUUUGAGAAAUAAGUGCACCAAUUUAUAAAGUGGUGGUUUUGUACUAGCCGCGAAUGUGAUAACAAUUGUUAUGUGCUUUUUACUGCCCACCGCGGGUGCUAAAUAAGAAAAAUCUGAGAUAAAGAUAGAUACAAUGAAUCUCUAGAAAAAUUGCAAACAAAAUUGAACACAACCAGGAGUAUGUCAUGCCGACGAAAUCGCAAACACAAAAAGUGAUUUCUCCCCAAAAAAUACAUAGAAAAUGAAUGACCCUAAAUGUUUCCUUCUGGUGAAUUUCCAAAAUACUCAGUAGCAACAAAACAUGUCCUUCUUGAGAUCAAACUGUCGAAGCAUGUGGAUGUUAUAUUAUGAUGCCGUUUCGAAACGACCGGCCAAACUUGUCGUACCCUAUCAGAGCUGCUAGUGCCUAAAACAUAUUAUUGUGAUUCAUUUUAGCAACUAAGUAAUGCACCUGAGGAAAAUAAUACUAAGCCGUACAGCAGCCAAACCAACAACACUCCCACUGAUAGCUCACGGAGUCACGGUUCUGACUGAACUCAGUCAGCACGCUACAAGAAGACAUGUCGACAAAGACGAAAUAUUCCAAUAGCCCGUUCCCGUCUAACAACAACAGGCUUAUACUAAGAGUAAUAAUAAUAAGAUAAUCCAAUCAAAGCAGCAGGCUCAUGUUAGGAAAUCUCAACAGUAAUCGCUCGAAUACCCAUGCAGCGGCAACACAAAACUAAUCCUCCCCAACACCGUGUGCCCAACGUACACGGGACAGAACGGACUGUCGGCAAAGCAAAGCGAAACCAAACACACAGAAAGCUUCGAGGAACUAAAACAAUCACAAAUCAUUGGGAGUACUAAAAAGACAGUACUGGAUAGGUGGAUAUAUUAAGGGAUGGAUAAACGAGUCAUGACAGGCCAAAGUACCCAAACGGCACUAAACAAAAGCCCCCCUAAUGUCCUUCAGCUAUGGCAUGGGGCCAGAGCCUCACAAGUUCUUUUUAGACUUUCAUUCGUUCAUGUGCUCUCUAAUGAUGGAUCAGAGUCUUGUAGACCGACAACGAGCAGGACUUUCGACGGCUUCUUCUAGGC
rnacentral:lncRNA from 1 species